rnacentral:rRNA from 1 species
CCUACGGGAGGCAGCAGUGGGGAAUAUUGCACAAUGGGCGCAAGCCUGAUGCAGCCAUGCCGCGUGUGUGAAGAAGGCCUUCGGGUUGUAAAGCACUUUCAGCGAGGAGGAAGGCAUUGUGGUUAAUAACCACGGUGAUUGACGUUACUCGCAGAAGAAGCACCGGCUAACUCCGUGCCAGCAGCCGCGGUAAU